rnacentral:rRNA from 1 species
CAGUCGCCGCGGUAAUACGUAGGUGGCAAGCGUUGUCCGGAAUUAUUGGGCGUAAAGCGCGCGCAGGUGGUUUAAUAAGUCUGAUGUGAAAGCCCACGGCUCAACCGUGGAGGGUCAUUGGAAACUGUUAAACUUGAGUGCAGGAGAGAAAAGUGGAAUUCCUAGUGUAGCGGUGAAAUGCGUAGAGAUUAGGAGGAACACCAGUGGCGAAGGCGGCUUUUUGGCCUGUAACUGACACUGAGGCGCGAAAGCGUGGGGAGCAAACAGGAUUAGAUACCCGAGUAGUCCCUGUCUCUUAUAC